rnacentral:rRNA from 1 species
AAUAAACGCUGGUGGCAUGCUUUAUACAUGCAAGUCGAGCGAAGACUAGAUUUGUAGUAGAAAUGAGUAAUUUUCACUUUGUGGAGAUUAUGAGUUUUUGCUAUUCCUGGUCUUAGCGGCGAACGGGUGAGUAACGCGUGAAUAAUCUGCCCUUGAAAUCGGGAUACCAUUCCGAAAGGAAUGCUAAUACCGAAUAACGUUAUGAAACGUAGGUUUUAUAACCAAAGUUGAAUCUUUGGAUUCUGCGUUCAAGGAUGAGUUCGCGUCCUAUUAGCUAGUUGGUGAGGUAAAGGCUCACCAAGGCUAUGAUGGGUAGCCGGCCUGAGAGGGUGAUCGGCCACACUGGGACUGAGAUACGGCCCAGACUCCUACGGGAGGCAGCAGUAGGGAAUAUUGCGCAAUGGGCGAAAGCCUGACGCAGCGACACCGUGUGAAGGAUGAAGGUCUUCGGAUCGUAAACUUCUGUCAAUCGGGGACGAAGGUAAUAAGGUUAAUAGCCUUUAUUAUUGACGGUACCCAAUAAGGAAGUCUCGGCUAACUCCGUGCCAGCAGCCGCGGUAAGACGGAGGAGGCAAGCGUUGUCCGGAAUCAUUGGGCGUAAAGAGCGCGUAGGCGGUUUUUCAAGUCGUAUGUGAAAACUUCAGGCUUAACCUGAUGAUUGCAUAUGAAACUGGAUAACUUGAGUACAGCAGAGGAAAGUGGAAUUCCUGGUGUAGCGGUGAAAUGUGCAGAUAUCAGGAAGAACACCGGUAGCGAAGGCGGCUUUCUGGGCUGUUACUGACGCUGAGGCGCGAAAGCUAGGGGAGCAAACAGGAUUAGAUACCCUGGUAGUCCUAGCCGUAAACGAUGGACACUAGGUGUGGGAAGUUAUCGACGCUUUCUGUGCCGAAGCUAACGCAUUAAGUGUCCCGCCUGGGGAGUACGGCCGCAAGGCUA